rnacentral:rRNA from 1 species
GACGAACGCUGGCGGCGUGCCUAAUACAUGCAAGUAGAACGCUGAAGGAGGAGCUUGCUUCUCUGGAUGAGUUGCGAACGGGUGAGUAACGCGUAGGUAACCUGCCUGGUAGCGGGGGAUAACUAUUGGAAACGAUAGCUAAUACCGCAUAAUAUUGACUAUUGCAUGAUAGUCAGUUGAAAGGUGCAACUGCACCACUACCAGAUGGACCUGCGUUGUAUUAGCUAGUUGGUGGGGUAACGGCUCACCAAGGCGACGAUACAUAGCCGACCUGAGAGGGGGAUCGGCCACACUGGGACUGAGACACGGCCCAGACUCCUACGGGAGGCAGCAGUAGGGAAUCUUCGGCAAUGGACGGAAGUCUGACCGAGCAACGCCGCGUGAGUGAAGAAGGUUUUCGGAUCGUAAAGCUCUGUUGUAAGGGAAGAACGAGUGUGAGAGUGGAAAGCUCAGACUGUGACGGUAUCUUACCAGAAAGGGACGGCUAACUACGUG